rnacentral:lncRNA from 12 species
CUGGAGCAUUGAAGGAGAAUACUAGAAUGACACUUUCCAUAAACCAGCAGACAGCAAUGGUAGCAGCAAGCUACCAUCCACACUGCAUCUUAUAAGCCCCACAAUAUCACACAGGCCUCUUCGUUCUGAUUUGGAGAAACAAAUACCUUCAUGUCGCUUUUUCUCCCCUUCCUGGGAUUUUGCUCACAAAUACACAAUGUGUAAAAGCAAGUAGGGGGGAAUCAGAGCCUCAUGGCUCUGUUGGUCUCUGUCCAAGGGCAAAAAAGAGAGAUUUUAGGAUCUUGGGAUAAGUGGUUAAGUGAUCAGGAGCACAGGUAGUGUUUGUUCUCCUCCCUCCUGCCACUUGCCGGUAAUGAUGAGAGAAGAAACAGGAAGAUCGCAGAACAAUACCUGGAUCUGAGCUUGGUGUCACUGGCAAAAUUGUGGGUUCUUUGAUCAUGGGUUGGUUUACAUAACACCAGGCCGUCUGGCAACAGAUGGGAUACACAGAUGGGUAACAAAGGAGGAAAAGGAACUUGCACAGGAGCCAAGAGGACUCAUUAAGAAAGAGUAGGGGAAAGAGAUAAAACCAGCCUGGUAGAAACAAGCCUGGGGACAGCAUGACACUGAGGAGUGGUCGCUUGUGAGGCCAUCUCAGUAGAGGUAAGGGUGAAGUCCGUGCAACAGCAAAGACGUGCGGGCUAUUGAUGCAUUGGAAACCACAGAUGUGCCUGAGAAUGGAGACAUGAGCAGUAAAGCUUCU